GAUCAUGGCUCAGGAUGAACGCUGGCGGCGUGCUUAACACAUGCAAGUCGAACGAAGCACUUAUCUUUGAUUCUUCGGAUGAAGAGGUUUGUGACUGAGUGGCGGACGGGUGAGUAACGCGUGGGUAACCUGCCUCAUACAGGGGGAUAACAGUUAGAAAUGACUGCUAAUACCGCAUAAGACCACAGAGCUGCAUGGCUCGGUGGGAAAAACUCCGGUGGUGUGGGAUGGACCCG
rnacentral:rRNA from 1 species